rnacentral:misc_RNA from 1 species
CCACAGAUUUUUUAGCAUUUCCCUCCCAAUAAUCUUUCCCUCCUCCGAUUUAUUGCGUUUGAAGAACAACGCGCGAGAGAGAGGUCAGCGUAGUAUAUUCAUUCCAUUGAAACUGAUAGGUAUACUAAUUGAGCCUAGCACUGUUCCGUUCAAUCGCUGCCAUGGUGAACCCUUAUGACCACAGGUAUUCCGAUCCCGAUUCUUACCGUCACCGUCGCAGUGACCUGAUUGGCCCGCCUCCUCCGGUCGGGCCGCCGAUGGUGAGGGGACCUUAUGGGCGCGGUGGACCGGUGCCUUAUGGUGGUCCUUCACCACCGGCUUUUGCGGGAAGAGGUGGUCCCGGACCAGUAGGCGGUUAUCCACCAUUUGAGCCUCCAGUUGGUAGAUUCGAUAUUGGCCGAGGCGGUGGCACUGUCAGUGGGGGGAGGGGCUUCAGUGGUAGCCGUCUUCCCAGUGGUCAUAUUGGGGAUAGAAGGCCUGAUGCAGCUCGUUUUGGCAGUGGAAGGGGCCGUGAUGGUGGACGAGGCGGCGGACGUGGUGGUGGGCGUGGUGUUGGUGGAGGAAGGGGAUUUGAUGGAGGCCGUGGUGGUGGAAGAGGAGUUAGGCGUGCUGGGGGAGCUACUAAAGGAGACUUGGAUAAUAUUACUCUUCCGAAGCAGGAUUUUGGGAAUUUGGUGCCUUUUGAGAAGAAUUUCUACAUUGAGAGUCCUUCAGUACAGUCUAUGUCUGAAAAUGAAGCUAUGAUGUAUCGGGCAAGGAGGGAUAUUACUGUCGAAGGUCACGAUGUACCUAAGCCCAUUCGGAUGUUUCGAGAGGCUAAUUUUCCUGAUUAUUGCUUAGAGGUGAUUGCCAAGUUAGGUUUUGUUGAGCCAACACCAAUACAGGCACAAGGGUGGCCAAUGGCCCUUAAGGGUAGAGAUUUAAUUGGCAUUGCAGAAACGGGUUCUGGUAAGACUUUGGCAUACUUGCUGCCAGCAUUGGUGCAUGUCAGUGCACAACCUCGAUUGGUACAAGGUGAGGGACCAAUUGUGUUAGUAUUAGCUCCUACAAGAGAAUUGGCUGUUCAAAUCCAAGAAGAAGCUAUAAAGUUUGGUUCACAUGCUAAUAUUAGGAGUACUUGCAUAUAUGGUGGUGCUCCCAAAGGACCUCAAAUUCGUGAUCUUCAAAGAGGUGUUGAGAUUGUGAUUGCUACUCCUGGACGACUAAUAGAUAUGUUAGAAGCUCAACAUACAAACCUGCGAAGAGUCACCUACCUUGUGUUGGAUGAGGCUGAUCGGAUGUUGGACAUGGGAUUUGAGCCUCAGAUUCGGAAAAUUUUAUCUCAAAUCCGGCCAGAUAGACAGACUUUGUAUUGGAGUGCCACGUGGCCAAGGGAGGUUGAAACUUUAGCAAGACAGUUUCUGCGCAAUCCAUACAAGGUAAUCAUUGGCUCAGCCGAUUUGAAAGCAAAUCAAUCAAUAAACCAAGUUGUUGAAGUUUUGACAGAGGUGGAGAAGUACAACAGACUGAUCAAACUUCUAAAAGAAGUGAUGGAUGGGAGUCGAAUUCUAAUAUUCAUGGAGACCAAAAAAGGCUGUGACCAAGUUACGAGGCAGUUGAGAAUGGAUGGAUGGCCAGCCCUAUCCAUCCAUGGUGAUAAAAAUCAAGCUGAAAGGGAUUGGGUCCUAUCUGAGUUCAAAAGUGGCAGAAGUCCUAUAAUGACUGCCACUGAUGUUGCUGCACGGGGUCUUGAUGUGAAGGACAUAAAGUGUGUGAUCAACUAUGAUUUUCCUUCCAGCCUUGAGGAUUAUGUCCACAGGAUUGGUCGAACUGGUCGUGCAGGGGCUAGGGGAACUGCAUUUACCUUUUUCACCCAUGCAAAUGCAAAGUUUGCUCGGGAUCUUAUCAAGAUUUUACAGGAAGCAAGGCAGAUUGUCUCUCCAGCAUUGUCUGCUUUGGCUCGGUCAGGUGGCGCUCUAGGAGGUUCUGGGGGUAACUUCCGUUCUAGAGGAGGACGAGGAGGCUUUGGCAAUCGUGCAUUAAUUUCAGGAUCUAAUACUGUGCCUCUUGGUGUAAAGAGGCCUUGGUAGUGUUAUAUCAGGAUCUAAUUCUGUGCCUCUUGGGGCAAAGUGGCGUUGGUAGUGUUAUAUUGUAGCUGCCACAUUCAAGGAACAAGCUUAGGGUUGCAUGUAUAAAGCUACUAAUAUGGUGUAUGCCGUCUGAAUAUUAGUUUUUCAUUCUGAUAUCAGGCCAUAUUAUAAAU